UACGUAGGUGGCGAGCGUUGUCCGGAUUACUGGGCGUAAAGGGCGCGCAGGCUGUGCUGCAAGUCAGCUGUGAAAUGUCUGGGCUUAACCCGUGCAUGCGGUUGAGACUGCAGUGCUGGAGUGCUGUAGAGGCAAGUGGAAUUCCCAGUGUAGCGGUGAAAUGCGUAGAUAUUGGGAAGAACACCGGUGGCGAAGGCGACUCUCUGGUCUGUAACUGACGCUGAGGCUCGAAAGCGUGGGGAG
rnacentral:rRNA from 1 species